AGAACGAACGCUGGCGGCGCGCCUAACACAUGCAAGUCGAACGCUCCGGUUUCGGCCGGGGGGUGGCGGACGGGUGAGUAACGCGUGGGAACCUGCCUUUCGGCUCGGGACAACCGUGGGAAACUACGGCUAAUACCGGAUACGCCCUGGAUUCAUUUCCGGGAGAAAGAUUUAUCACCGAAAGAUGGGCCCGCGUCCGAUUAGCUUGACGGUGAGGUAAUGGCUCACCGUGGCUUCGAUCGGUAGCC
rnacentral:rRNA from 1 species